rnacentral:misc_RNA from 1 species
GUAGGUGAACCUGCGGAAGGAUCAUUAACACUUUUACCCAUUUCUUACACAAAACACCCCUCAAAACAGUAAUGUUUUGAUACCCCUCGUCUAUGAGAUCAGGUGGUUGAUAGGCGGAUAGAGUCUAGGGGCGGUAAAACACCCCUCUUCUCCGUUUGCUUCUCAUAGCCCCUGGUCUUUUUUUUCACUUUUAAACCCCUUUUUACCAACAAACCAAAUAAACAAAAUCAAAAACGAUAAAAAAAAACAAAUAAUGAAAAGAAACAAUUCUUAACAAUGGAUAUCUUGGUUCUC